rnacentral:rRNA from 1 species
AGCGAACGCUGGCGGCAGGCCUAACACAUGCAAGUCGAACGAACCUAUCGGGGUUAGUGGCGGACGGGUGAGUAACACGUGGGAACGUGCCUUCAUGUUCGGAAUAACUCAGGGAAACUUGUGCUAAUACCGAACGUGCCCUUCGGGGGAAAGAUUUAUUGCCUUUAGAGCGGCCCGCGUCGGAUUAGCUAGUUGGUUGAGGUAAUGGUUCACCAAGGCGACGUUCAGUAGAUGGUCUGAGAGGAUGAUCAGCCACAUUGGGACUGAGACGCAGCCGAAACUCCUACGGGAGGCAGCAGUGGGGAAUCUUGCGAAAUGGGCGAAAGGCUGACGCAGCCAUGCCGGGUGAAUGAUGAAAGUCUUAGGAUUGUAAAAUUCUUUCACCGGGGACGAUAAUGACGGUACCCGGAGAAGAAGCCCCGGCUAACUUCGUG